rnacentral:rRNA from 1 species
GAUGAACGCUGGCGGCGUGCUUAACACAUGCAAGUCGAACGAAGCAUAUUGGAUUUUGUUUUUCGGAACAAAUGAAGAUGUGACUUAGUGGCGGACGGGUGAGUAACGCGUGGGUAACCUGCCUCACACUGGGGGAUAACAGUUAGAAAUGACUGCUAAUACCGCAUAAGCGCACAGUAUCUCAUGAUACAGUGUGAAAAACUCCGGUGGUGUGAGAUGGACCCGCGUCUGAUUAGCUAGUUGGUAGUGUAAUGGACUACCAAGGCGACGAUCAGUAGCCGGCCUGAGAGGGUGAACGGCCACAUUGGGACUGAGACACGGCCCAGACUCCUACGGGAGGCAGCAGUGGGGAAUAUUGCACAAUGGGCGAAAGCCUGAUGCAGCGACGCCGCGUGAGCGAAGAAGUAUUUCGGUAUGUAAAGCUCUAUCAGCAAGGAAGAUAAUGACGGUACUUGACUAAGAAGCCCCGGCUAACU